AUUUUCCUCCUGAUCGAACAAAUGCUUUCCGUUAAAAUCCCCAAACCGAGAGAAGUGGAAAAAGUCCCUGCACGGAGCCGCGGAUAGCUGGUGGAACACGAGCGUUUUCCCUCUGUACCAUCACACCGGCUGGCGCACAGAUUUUGUACUUGCAGGGUAUUUCUGUUGUGAUGUCGUCGGUGGUCCCCUGAUAAUAUAGUUGGAAAAAUAAGCAUCAGCACUGAGGAAUGGAUGGAGGACAAUAGAAGAGCUAGCUUCUUCCAUCCCAGGAGACAAGGAAUAAAUAUUGUAUCUUGCCUAAUAAGGAACCGACACUUUCAAAAUGUUUUACCAUUUUUGUGGACAUUUUCUUUUUGCUCGUUUGUAUUUUCAGACCGUUUGCUUUCUUCGUUUUACCCACAUGGCUUAAUCCAGGCUAUUACAAAACGAAUCGGAUUUUCAACAAAAAUGAGGGGCCUACUGACGUUCCAGUCGGAAACAGUGUUGUUUCAGUUUCCAGCAGGGAAGUUAAGUUAUUCAGGAAGCCUGGAAAAUGCUUCACAUGAUUAGGUGAAAUGGGCUCCACAAAAAUCAGUUGUUCAGAAAGGACAAAAGAAAAGUUAAGGUCCAUUACAAGGUUUGCAUGUCAGCCCAGGUAAAUAAAGAUGAGCUGUAAGGCUGCUGGUUUCAGAUUCUAGGUACCAUCUUCUGCCGUUGUGCCCCUAAGCAAGGUGUUUCUUCCUCCAUAGUUUGUGGUUGUGUCUACCUUGGGGUUUGGUAGCAGGAUACUAACUACAGAACUACAAACCAACUACUAUACCAACUACAUACCAACUACAUACAAACUGUUAUACCAACUGCUAUACCAACUACAUACCAACUACAUACCAACUACAUACCAACUACAUACCAACUGUUAUACCAACUACAUACCAACUACAUACCAACUACAUACCAACUGUUAUACCAACUGCUAUACCAACUACAUACCAACUACAUACCAACUACAUACCAACUACAUACCAACUGUUAUACCAACUAAAUACCAACUACAUACCAACUGCUAUACCAACUACAUACCAACUACAUACCAACUACAUACCAACUACAUACCAACUGUUAUACCAACUACAUACAAACUGUUAUACCAACUGCUAUACCAACUACAUACCAACUACAUACCAACUACAUACCAACUACAUACCAACUGUUAUACCAACUACAUACCAACUACAUACCAACUACAUACCAACUGUUAUACCAACUACAUACCAACUGUUAUACCAACUACAUACCAACUGUUAUACCAUCUGUUAUACUAACUACAUAACUACAUACCAUCUGUUAUACUAACUACAGAACUACAUACCAACUGCUAUACCAACUACAUACUAACUACAUACCAACUACAUACCAACUGUUAUACCAACUACAUACUAACUACAUACCAACUGCUAUACCAACUACAUACUAACUACAUACCAACUACAUACCAACUGUUAUACCAACUACAUACUAACUACAUACCAACUGCUAUACCAACUACAUACUAACUACAUACCAACUACAUACCAACUGUUAUACCAACUACAUACCAACUACAUACCAACUGUUAUACCAACUACAUACCAACUGUUAUACCAAAUGUUAUACCAACUACAUAACUACAUACCAACUGUUAUACCAACUACAUAACUACAUACCAAGUGUUAUACCAAAUGUUAUACCAACUACAUAACAAAUGUUAUACCAUCUGUCAGGUUUGUGGAAGUGAACCACAUUCCAUCAAGUCCCAUAAGCACAUACAGCACUGAUCAGAAUAUUCAAGUGUGUGUGUUUGUGUGUGUGUGUUGAUGUUGUAAGUUGAACUGUUUUAACAUUUGUAAUUAGAACUACAUAACUACAUAUCAACUAUUAUAACAACUGUUGUACCAAUUAGCUACAUAUCUACAUUACAGAUAAUACCCACCACUGCGACCUGUAUGCUCUUGUUGGCUGACCCUCGCUUCAUAUUCGUCACCAAACCCACUGGCUCCGGGUCAUCUAUAAGUCUUUGCUAGGUAAAGCCCCGCCUUAUCUCAGCUCACUGGUCACCAUAGCAGCACCCACCCGUAGCACGCGCUCCAGCAGGUAUAUCUCACUGGUCACCCCCAAAGCCAACACCUGCUUUGGCCGCCUUUCCUUCCAGUUCUCUGCUGCCAAUGACUGGAACGAAUUGCAAAAUUCACUGAAGCUGGAGACUCAUAUCUCCCUCACUAGCUUUAAGCACCAGCUGUUAGAGCAGCUCACAGAUCCCUGCACCUGCACAUAGCCCAUCUGUAAACAGCCCACCCAACUACCUCAUCCCCAUAUUGUUAUUUAUUUUUUUGCACCCCAGUAUCUCUACUUGCAUAUUUAUCUUCUGCACAUCUAUCACUCCAGUGUUUAAUUGCUAAAUUGGAAUUACUUCGCCACUAUGACCUAUUUAUUGCCUUACCUCCCUAGUCUUAUCUCAUUUGCACACACUGUAUAUAUAUAUUUUCUAUUGUGUUAAUCACUGUACGUUUGUUUAUUCCAUGUGUAACUCUGUGUUGUUGUUUGUGUCGCACUGCUUUGCUUUAUCUUGGCCAGAUCGCAGUUGUAAAUGAGAACUUAUUCUCAACUGAACUACCUGGUUAAAUAAAGGUGAAAUAAAAAUAAAAUAUACAAACUACAUAACUACAUACAACUGUCUUACCAACUAGCUAUAUAACUACAUAUUAACUGUUAUACCAACUACAAAA
rnacentral:lncRNA from 8 species